UAGAAGCUUCUCCUCUCCCCCUCAUUCCAUCGUGACUAACAAGAAGAGAAAAGAGCUCUCCCCUUCCUCCCUCCGGCGGCGUCCCCUCCUCCUCGCCAUCUUCGACAGGUAUGAUUUGUAAAGGUCUUGAAAUCAUUGAAUCGGUGACAUAUUGGGGUUGUGGGGCUCCUCGUGUCAAUGGGGUGCCUAAAUUAUGCUUAUGAGAUAAGUUUUCCAAUUGAUUUAGUCAUUAAAGUCUAUAUGCUUCCUUCCUUUUUACUUCAUGAAUUUGGUGAAUUUGGGGCAUUUGUCUUACUGUUAUGGAUAGCUUGAUGGUGGGAGAUGAUGUUAAACUUGCUGUGCAUUUGUUAAUGUUACUUGGGCAUAGUGGCGGAGCAACAUGGGAACAAGGGAUACCCAAAAUUUGAGUUGACGCUGAUCUUGUCUGCGCCAAGCUAACAUUUCUGGCGACAAUGGUACAGUGGAAGAUCUGCUGGCCUCUGUGCUCUGCAUCAGCAUUCCUUCUCCAGUGAUAUACGACUCUAGGCUGCUGCCAUAUGAGAAAGUUGGAAUCCGUGAGCUUCAAGGAGAGUGGUGGAUUGCUAGACAAUGUCGGUAUGGCUGUGUUUGGUGAAGGAGAGUCUGAUGUGGAUCCAUGUAUUUUAUGAUCCAUUUCCCAAGGAUUUACCCAAUUUCUAGGUGAUUGAUCUAAUAUUUUUGUGAAGUAGAUUUUCUAUUGUAUCAAUAAAGGCAA